CCCCCAAGGCCUGAGCCCAGAGGGACACAGCACUGACCACCCUCUUCCUGUACAGAGCUGAUACUAGAGGAGAGCUGUGUGGAGACGCAGGAUGGGGAGCUGGACGGGCUCUGGACGACCAUCACCAUCUUCAUCACACUCUUCCUGCUGAGUGUGUGCUACAGUGCCACCGUCACCUUCUUCAAGGUGAAGUGGAUCUUCUCCUCGGUGGUGGACCUGAAGCAGACCAUCGUCCCCGACUACAGGAACAUGAUCGGGCAGGGGGCCUAGGGCCACCCUCUGCUGGAAGUCCAGGGCCGCCCAGACCCCACACAGGAGCCAUGGGCCACGCUCAGCCGCCACCCAGGCCACGCCUCCCCUGACCUCGCCGCCCUCGACCCCAUGGCUCUCCGGCCUCGCAGUCGCCCUCUGACCUGCCACACCUGAUGUGCCCCCCUUUGAGCCUGUGCAUAGCAGGUCUGUCGCAGAUUUCUGCUGCUUGGUGCGUGCAGGGCGCUGGGGCCAGGUGUCCCGUCAGCAGGACACCUCUGCCCUCCAGCCCCCCAGCUGCUCACACAAAAGGGGGCAGCAGCCAGCAUCCCAGGCGCCCACCCAGGCAGGAACCAGCCUGGAGCCAGUCCCGUCCACACCAGCCUCCUGAACACAGGCGUGGCCAUUGGGAGCUUCCGCCACCAAGCCAGGAAGUUACAGCACCCUCGGGCCCUGCUGGUGAGGCUUGGGAGAGCGGAGAAUGCUCAGACGGCCUUCCUCCCGGCCCGCAGCCAGCCAGGCUCCAUUCUGGGCAGUCCCGUGAACUCCUGACAUGAGGAAUGAGGUUAAAGAACCCUGUUCUCUGGGUCCCGGGAAGACGCCUCCCACGGAGCAGGGUCUCAGGUGCCAGCACCGCCUCUUGGCUGCCUGCUCACGCUGCUGCAUUCUCAGGACUGGAACUCAACCUGAAGGGACAGACAGCCCCAGAGUCUGCACUGGGAAGAGGAGGGGCCGGGCCCAGGACACUGCCACCUCCCACCCCACCCCACCCCACCAAGACCACUCGGGGAAGAGCCUGGGCCACGCGGCCACUGCAGCAGCCCCCACACCGUGCGAGUCCAGAGCAGCCCAGAGAAGAGGUGGGCAUCGGCCAGACAGGCCUACCUAGAGGGCCUGGUGACCAGGUCCCAGGUGGGCAAGAAUCAGCCUUGGUGGGGCCUGAGGACAGAGGAGGCCCAGGAGCACUGGGUAGAGACGUGUAGGGAUGCCAGGGGAGCCAGGAGCAGAGGCACAGCCGGAAUCAUCCCCGAGGCUGAGUCCAGCCCCAGGGCACCUGCAGCAGGACCCAGCAGCCACUCUGGAGGCACGAGGCGGACGGGCAAGACCACAGAGAGGGUGCCGUGGCCUUGGGAGGCUGGGGCUGCUGGCCACGAGGGCUGCACAGAGGCCACCAUGCCCUGUUGCCCCCAUCACGCCUUUGGGCAAAUGUCAGGCAGAAUCCGCAGACAGGAAGAGACACGUGCGGGAGUGUGGCCGGCACCUGCCUCGGCCGUCGGGGGGACUCCCCGCCUCACUGGAAGGAGGUGCCACGGUCUCAGCUUUGGUAGCUUUUGUUCUUUUAAAUUUUCUAAAGCCCAUUGAUUGUCUUGAAUGUUUCUUUUUAAUGACAAUAAAAUAUCCUUUUUAAGUCUU